GGUGAACGCUGGCGGCGUGCCUAACACAUGCAAGUCGAGCGGUGCAGCUGGAGGCUUCGGCCGAAGGCUGCAUAGCGGCGGACGGGUGCGUAACGCGUAGGAACGUGCCCCCUGGAGGCGGAUAGCCGCGGGAAACUGCGGGUAAACCGCCAUAGACUCGGGAGAGUAAAGGCCGUAAGGCGCCAGGGGAGCGGCCUGCGUCCCACCAGGUAGUUGGUAGGGUAACGGCCUACCAAGCCUACGACGGGUAGCCGGUCUGAGAGGAUGGCCGGCCACAAGGGCACUGAGACACGGGCCCUACUCCUACGGGAGGCAGCAGUGGGGGAUAUUGGACAAUGGGCGGAAGCCUGAUCCAGCGACGCCGCGUGGAGGACGAAGCCCUUCGGGGUGUAAACUCCUUUUGUCGGGGAAAAAGGGCUGAUGGUACCCGACGAAUAAGCCCCGGCUAACUACGUGCCAGCAGCCGCGGUAAUACGUAGGGGGCGAGCGUUACCCGGAAUCACUGGGCGUAAAGGGUGCGUAGGCGGCCGCGUGUGUCUGGCGUAAAAUUCCACGGCUCAACCGUGGGUAUGCGCUGGAAACUACGUGGCUUGGGUGCGGCAGAGGCAGACGGAACUGCUGGUGUAGGGGUGAAAUCCGUAGAUAUCAGCAGGAACGCCGGUGGAGAAGUCGGUCUGCUGGGCCGUAACCGACGCUGGGGCACGAAAGCUAGGGGAGCGAACCGGAUUAGAUACCCGGGUAGUCCUAGCCGUAAACGAUGCUCACUAGGUGUGGGGGCGGAAGCCUCCGUGCUGAAGC
rnacentral:rRNA from 1 species